rnacentral:rRNA from 1 species
AGUCAAUAGAUACCCUGGUAGUCCACGCCGUAAACGAUGAGUACUAGGUGUAGGAGGUAUCGACUCCUUCUGUGCCGCAGUUAACACAAUAAGUACUCCGCCUGGGAAGUACGGUCGCAAGAUUAAAAACUCAAAGGAAUUGACGGGGGCCCGCACAAGCAGCGGAGCAUGUGGUUUAAUUCGAAGCAACGCGAAGAACCUUACCUAGACUUGACAUCUCCUGAAUAGCGCAGAGAUGCGUGAAAGCCCCUUGGGGCAGGAAGACAGGUGGUGCAUGGUUGUCGUCAGCUCGUGUCGUGAGAUGUUGGGUUAAGUCCCGCAACGAGCGCAACCCCUAUUAUUAGUUGCUACCAUUAAGUUGAGCACUCUAAUGAGACUGCCCGGUUAACCGGGAGGAAGGCGGGGAUGACGUCAAAUCAUCAUGCCCCUUAUGUCUAGGGCUACACACGUGCUACAAUGGUGAGAACAACGAGAUGCAAUACCGCGAGGUGGAGCAAAACUUGAAAACUCAUCUCAGUUCGGAUCGUA